AAAUAGCCUAACGGCUGAACCAGCAACUUGGAGGAAUGUAUAGCGAAUAGCUACUUGUAUCAUUACAGAUAUGAUGCAGGAUUGACCAAGUCGAAUAAAAUUCUAGGUAGAAUUAUGAUGAUGACAUUGUCUGCCUAUGUGUCUUGACCAAACUACGUGCCAGCAGUCGCGGUAAUACGUAAUAGACUAGUGUUAUUCAUGUUUAAUCGGUUUAAAGGGUACCUAGACGGUAGAUCAAGCCUGCGAAUAAAAUUCGACAAACCAAGGGACUAAUUUACUAGAGUUACUUCUGAGGGGGUAUUAAAGUACUAGUGGUGUAGAGAUGAUAUUCUUUCAUACCUAUUUUCAAUAGAAAAGGCACGGCACAGGUAUAGGCGAAGGCAUCCCCUUAUGUGAUAACUGACGUUGAGGGACGAAGGCUUUGUAUCGCCAAAAGGAUUAGGUACCCUCGUAGUCAAAGGAGAAAAUGAUGAAUGUCAUAGAUUAGAUAUAUAAGUUUAUUCUAUAAAUGAAAGUGUAAGCAUUCCACCUCAAGAGUAAUUUGGCAACAUUGGAACUGAAAUCAUUAGACCGUUUCUGAAACCAGUAAUGAAGUAUGUUAUUUAAUUUGAUGACCCGCAAAACACCUUACCACAAUUUGAAUAUUUAUGUUAUUUGUUGUUUUCUUAUUCAUUUUAUUUUAAAAAAAAAUAAAAUGAAUAAAAGGCAAUAAGAUAUAUUUACAAGCGUUGCACGGCUGUCUUCAGUUAGUGUCGUGAGACUAUGGUUAGUUCCAUAAAAUUAACGUAAACCCUUACUUUAUUUUUAUAUAGAGUAGUUCCCCACUAUAUUGGAUUCUGAUAACAGGGACUAGGACAAGU
rnacentral:rRNA from 1 species